AGUCUAAGGGCAAAUUCGUGAACAAAAUUUGCGGCAAACUGAAAAAUAAACAAAAGUUGGAAGACCAGAUUUGCAAAUAAUCAAAAGUUCACCAUUGUUGUUCCGGUGAAGCUUUCUCUUUCAUCUGCGACCAAAGCGACGAUGAUUUCGGCGGCCACAACUCUGUUCCCGACCAUGGUGACCACGGUGAGGAGGAGAUGACUUGAAUUUGACAUGGAUUGCUGUAGAAAUCUGUCGGGGCGGAGCCGCAGUUUGAGGUUGCCGACAAUUGAGCUCUCCUGACUUCUCCGUCACGUCGCUCCUUGCUUAUCACGGGUAUCUAUUCGCGGAUUAAGUUUGAGCAUGGCUGAAGAUUCAAAGAUUAAACGUGUCUGUAUUUUGGAGGAUUCUAUAGAUGAAAAAGUGAGAAACUAAAAACUAGAAAAAAGAUGUGCAUUUAUGGUUGAGAGAAACGUGUCAAGUGGACAUCUAAUUUGUAAUUAGUGGGUUCUACUGGUUACCAUUUAGUUCUGUUUUAGUUUGUAAAUGAAGAUGCAGUUAAAAGGAAGUGAGCUGAAAGUGUCUUAGAGUGUUAUUAAAACUCGUAAAGUGACCCAUUAUGUAAAUCACUCAAAAAAUAAUAAUAAUACCCGCGCGGAUGCGUAUAUCAAAAUCUAGUUUAUACUAUUAAAACUAAAAUACAUUUUUGACAUCUCCUUGUGUUUUGUAAGUAUUUACAUCUAUGAUAUUACCUUAUUUAAUUUAAAAUUGCAUUGAUUAUUUAUUUAAACUAAAUAACAAGGUUUCCUAAAUCUACUCAACGAAAUCAAUUAAUAUAUAUCAGCAAUUAAGAGACCAACAAUAUUAAUUAUGAAUCACAUAUUUAAGUAGCAUCACAUGUUCAUAUUUAAGUGGCAUCUAAAUUAAAAAAAAAAUGACACUUGCAUCACAAACACUUUACAUGAAUAUAUUUAAAUGUACCAGCAAAAUGUUUUCAUUAAAAGUACCAGCAAAAUGUCUCAAGUUUGUAAUAAAACAUUAAAAUAAAGUUUUUUUACUAAUACACAUAUUAUGCUAUAUAAUUAUAAUAUAGAUAUAUUAACUUAUAUUUGUGCAAUCACUACGGUUGUAUAGUAAAAAGGUUUAUGUAAAUGUACAACUUUUAAUUUUUAUUAAAACUUUAAUAUAGAUGAUACAAAUAUAUUAACUUAUAUUUUUCAUUAUAAAAUUUAAUGCAAAAUUACAAACAACACUAAUAAACAAAAUGAAGUAUAUUAAAAUAUCCCUCAAAAUUUAAUAAGUUUUCAAUACUCUUAAAUAAUUAAUAAAACUUAAGGAUUCAACCGAGAUAUAGAAAUUUUAAAAAUAUUAUUAUUCUACAUGAAUAUUUUUUUUGUAAAUUACUAAAUUCUUAAAAAAAUAUCCCCAAAAAAUAAAAAGAUUUUCUCUUUCCGUUUUUUUUUAAAAAAAAUCACAAACUUAUAAAUUAUAUUUCCAUAAUUUUACACUCUCUAUAGUCUUUAUGCUAUUUCACCAUGUUAUAACCUCACCGUUUUUACUAAAACUUCCCAUAUUAAUUAAAAUAUUUAUAGAAGUUAUUGUAAGUGAACAUAAGCAAUUUCACAGUCCAUUUUUAAAAGAUUGAAUCCCAUAUAAAUAAACAUUUAAAAUGAAAUCUUUAAAAAUUCCUUAGUUUAUGUAAAAGACUAAGAUAUGUAAUUCAUUAAAAAUAACAAUCAUUAUAUUAUUUAUGCAAUCAAUAUUUAAGAUUUGCAGCCGAGAUAUGAUAGAUUGUGGUAUACUAAUAUUUGGAAUUAACAAAAUAAAAACUACGCCCAACCCCAUCCUUAUAAAUAGCCAUUCAUCUCUAACUUAUUUUGUAUCAUGCUUUAGAAAAAAUGACUUCUACUGUGUAAAUAAAAAAACUUGAAGGUUGUGAGAAAUCAUUUAAAACAUGAUGGUUUUGAAUAUACUGCAAUUUUCGGUUAAACUAUAUUACCACUAUCUUAAAGUUGUGUUUAAAUUUGAUAAUACAAAGUAAACAUGAUUUGAUUUAAAUGGGAUCAGACAAAAAGAGACGAGUUUAAAUAGGUACAAUGUUUUUAAAGCCAGAAAUGUAACUAAAUCGGAAAUUUUUGGGUUCAUGGAUCAAUAUGGUUCGAUUGGGUUCAUUCGAGAUCAACCGAAUUUAAUUCAGUUCAAUCAUAGAAUAAAAAUAAAAUUUAAACUAAAUGCUUUGUAUUAUUCUCGACGAAUUUUACAAAUAUAACUAAGUUUAGUUAUUACAGUUUUCAAUAGAGAUAAUUAUGAAAUAAAGUUUAAAAUUAAUAUUUUGAUUCAAUUAUAAAAUUAAUAUUUUGAUUCAAAAUACCUAUCAGUGUGAAUUAUGAAAUAAAUAAAAUCAUAAUAAUAAAAUCAUUUGUAUGAUUCAAAGACAAAAAAAAUAUCAAUAUUAUGACGUUUGAUAGUAAUUACAAACAAACAUGGUUUUUCCCAUGACUUGGAUAUGUUUCCAGUUUACGGUUUAACUUGAUCCGCCUGCCGUUUUGGCCCGGACUGAAAAAUGCUUUGUAGGACAGGUUACCUUUUUAACAUCAUAACAAAGUAUCUGAUACAUUUUUCUUAAAUUUUUACAACAUAAAUAUCAUGCUCUUUAAAAGCGCUGGUCAAAAUCUAGUAUAUAUUUAAACUAAACCAACUUUAAUCUGUGAUUCAUAUUGAAACCCAUCCAAUUUUAAUCAGGUCAUCUCUGUCCGUGGUCAUCUCUUCUCCAUCCUUCUUCCUCUGUUCCACCAUCAUGAUCUCCGACCACCAUACACAGGUUGAUUCGCAAGAAACAUAGAACAAAGUGAAAUUGAGAUAAAGCUUGAUCGUUUAGCAAUGACUGAGACAUGGCCUAAACUCUGAGUUUUUUUUUGGUUGUUUUUAAAGACAACAACUUUAUAAAAUUUUGGAAAUGCAUCCUCCAAAGGUAGUCAAUCCAAGCAGAAGAGCCAGAAGCGCCAUGGAAGGCAUCACAAGAGUGAUUGCAUGUGUGCGGUAUGUAUUUUGAAGCGACGUAAAAGAGAACGUCACAGUUCUCAAGGAAAUUCUGUAAUAGUAGAGGUUAGUAAUGUGUUUUGUUUAUCCAAAGAGAACACACAACCCGGGGUGCUUGGCUUCAAUUUGCUGUAACUAAAUGUCUUUCUUUCUUGAAGGAAUCUUCACCUGUGAGAAGUCCGUGUAAGUUAAAUUUACGUGAACCCUAAGAUAUUUAAACAUCAACGUUAAUCACAUAAUAGAAUCAUAUGAAUGUUUAUAGAGUUAUCUGGAUUCGUUGUGACUGAGAGAUCUUUAUGAAUUGAUUGAAUCCUGAAUGAAAGAUGAACAACUCGAUCUCUCCUUAGGAACUUUUAAGUUUCUGUCGCUUCGCCUAUAACGUUAGUUGUUGCUUUUAGGAUAUAUUUAUGAUGGUCUAAAGAUAUGUAUUUAUAUGUGGAGAGAUGACCUAAUUCCUCUUUAGAGUUUUCUUUAAAUUAAUCUCAACCGUCCAUCAAGGUAGAGAUAAAUUAGGAAACACUACUUUAUUUCCAAUUUCACUGGUCACCAAAUAUAUUAAGAAAUAGCAAUAUUCCAAUAGAAAACGGAUAACUAUAAGACCAUAUAAUAGGAAAAGGAAAUAUUCCUUACAGUCUCCCACUUGGUCGUUAGUAAGAUCCACUAAUGUUUUCUUUAUGGAAUCAUAAGGCCGGCAUAUGCUAUAACUUUAUUUUCAUUUGGUCAUCAUAAGUGUCUUGACUAAUCUAGUAAUCAAUGAGAGUCAUGGCGGUCGCACAUCAUUCUGCAACAUGAUCCCUUCCAUGUACUACCGCAUUGACCACCUUCAUAGUUAGACCAUAAACAUAAGUAGGAGUAUCGUAAUGGUCCCUUUAAUGUCUUUAAUGAAAGACGCAUUUUGUUAUCAUAAAUCCAACCAACAAUAGUGUGUGUGCACAUUGGAAACAAAAUAUAUAAAAGAUGUAAAAGUCAUAAAAGAGCUCAAAUAAUUGUCAGCUAAUCGUAAACAAACAACAUUAAGCGCUAUCCUCAAGACCCAUACUUUCAGCAUGCUUCAUGAAAGUCUUUGGAGGUAAAACUUUUGUAAAUAUGUCUGCAACCAUAAGUUCAGUGCUUAUAUGUUCAAUGACAAACUUUUCUCUUUUGACAUCUUGCUUCAGUGAUAGAUAUUUGAGGUCCAUAUGCUUGGCUCCCUUAGAUAUCCUAUCAUGCUUAGCGAAGAAUAUUGCAGCUUGAUUGUCACAGUAAAGAGUGAGAGGCUUGUCAACAAAACUCAAAGCCCCAAACUAUGACACAAAAUUCUGCAACCAUGUUCCUUGAAUAGAAGCCUCAUAACAUGCAACAUACUCAGCUUCCAUAGUGGAUGUGUAUAUCAACUCAGACUUCUGGCUUUUCCAUGAGAUGGCACCUCCACCAAGGAGAUACACAUAGCCGAGAGUACAGUGUCUAGAGUCUUUGCAUCCACCAAAAUCUGUGUCCGAAAUCCAACCAUCUGUGGAUGUGUUGAUUUUCGAUAUGUCAACAUGUAGUUUCUUGUUCCCUUCAAGUAUCUCAAAACUUUCUUUGCAGCUUGCCAAUGAGUGAGUCCUGGGUUACUCUGAAAUCUACCCAGCAUGCCAACUACGUGGCUAAUAUCAGGUCUGGUACAAACCUGUACAUACAUCAAACUUCCCACAGGAGAUGCAUAAGGGUAUUUUUGCAUUUCAUUACGUUCCAUUUCAUUCUGCGAACAUUGCUUAAGAUUAAGCGUGUCACCUUUAUGCAUAGGAACAAUGCUAGAAGAACAUGUUAUCAUGUCGAAUCUCUCAAGAACUUUAUCAAUAAACGUUUUCUGAGACAAUCCCAAAAUUCCUAGUGAUCUGUCACGGAAUAUUUAAAUUCCUAUCACAUAGGAUGACUCACCCAUAUCUUUCAUUUCAAAGUUCUCAGAGAGAUAACUCUUAGUCUCAUGUAAUAAACCAAGAUCACUGCUGGCUAAUAAUAUGUCAUAAACAUACAUAACCAAAAAUAUGAACGUACUCCCACUGAUCUUGAGGUAUAUACAUGGAUCCACAAUGUUUUUUUUGAAACCGAAUUUCGUAAUGGUUUCAUCAAACUUUAAGUACCAUUGCCUCGGAGAUUGUUUCAGUCCAUAUAUUGAUUUUUUCAAUUUGCAGACCAUAUCUUUCUGAACUUCGAUUAUGAAGCCUUCAGGUUGACGCAUAGGGGAGAUAGAUGAAGUAUCCUCAUUCGUAAAAUACGAUGAGUUAAAUAUGAGAUUAAUUCGUCCCAAAUUUUAAUUAGGUUAGAAACUCUGUCUUUUUAAAUUAUCAUUUUAAUUCUGUUUCAAUAUUUUUUUUUAUAUAUUAACUGUUCUUAAAUUUUCUGUCAGAUAUUUUUAGGAGUUCUUAUAUCAGUUUGAAAUCUAGAAUGGGGAUACAACCAUUAAAAAGGAGAUAAAAUCUCAAACCUAUCAAAUCUAGUUUGUUAAUCUUAACUGAUAUUAAGUGUGUAUGCCUUUUAAUUAUUAUAUUUAUUACGAUACUAAUGAUAUUUCUUAUUAAUUUACAUAUUCAACUGUAUAAUCAUUUUUAUGUCAAUCCUUACUUCAGUCUCGAUCGAGUGAGCGUUGUUGCAUAUGGGAAAAUGGUUGAACAUGUCCAUACGUUAUGUCAUCUUAUGGUGAUGACAUAGUUAUUUGCGUAUUACGAUUAUGGGAGCUUGAAGUUCUGGACGGUUAUUAAAUAUUUAAACCCAACUACACCUUGACCCGCGCGCCAGCGCGGUUAUGAAUUUUCAGUUUUUAAUUAUUUAUUUUAUUAAAUGAUGUAUUUGUA